UACGGGAGGCAGCAGUAGGGAAUAUUGGGCAAUGGGCGAGAGCCUGACCCAGCCAUGCCGCGUGCAGGACGAAGGCCCUCUGGGUUGUAAACUGCUUUUAUCGGGGAAGAAGAGCACUCUUGCGAGAGUGUGUGACGGUACCCGAGGAAUCAGCACCGGCUAACUCCGUGCCAGCAGCCGCGGUAAUACGGAGGGUGCAAGCGUUGUCCGGAUUUAUUGGGUUUAAAGGGUGCGUAGGUGGCCGUUUAAGUCCGCUUUGAAAGCUGGUCGCUCAACGAUCAGGGGUGGGUGGAUACUGGAUGGCUUGAAUGAUGUCGAGGUUACUGGAACGGGUCGUGUAGCGGUGAAAUGCAUAGAUAUGACCCAGAACUCCGAUUGCGAAGGCAGGUGGCUAGGCAUCGACUGACACUGAGGCAAGAGAGCAUGGGUAGCAAACAGGAUUAGAUACCCUGGUAGUGCACGCCGUAAACGAUGAUAAACU
rnacentral:rRNA from 1 species